rnacentral:rRNA from 1 species
ACUGCUCAGUAACACGUGGAUAACCUGCCCUUGGGUCCGGCAUAACCCCGGGAAACUGGGGAUAAUUCCGGAUAACGCAUAUGUGCUGGAAUGCUUUAUGCGUGAAAUGGAUUCGUCUGCCCAAGGAUGGGUCUGCGGCCUAUCAGGUAGUAGUGGGUGUAAUGGACCUACUAGCCAACAACGGGUACGGGUUGUGAGAGCAAGAGCCCGGAGAUGGAUUCUGAGACAUGAAUCCAGGCCCUACGGGGCGCAGCAGGCGCGAAAACUUUACAAUGCGGGAAACCGUGAUAAGGGGACACCGAGUGCCAGCAUCAUAUGCUGGCUGUCCAGGUGUGUAAAAUACACCUGUUAGCAAGGGCCGGGCAAGACCGGUGCCAGCCGCCGCGGUAACACCGGCGGCCCGAGUGGUGAUCGUGAUUAUUGGGUCUAAAGGGUCCGUAGCCGGUUUGGUCAGUCCUCCGGGAAAUCUGAUAGCUCAACUAUUAGGCUUUCGGGGGAUACUGCCAGACUUGGAACCGGGAGAGGUAAGAGGUACUACAGGGGUAGGAGUGAAAUCUUGUAAUCCCUGUGGGACCACCUGUGGCGAAGGCGUCUUACCAGAACGGGUUCGACGGUGAGGGACGAAAGCUGGGGGCACGAACCGGAUUAGAUACCCGGGUAGUCCCAGCCGUAAACGAUGCUCGCUAGGUGUCAGGCAUGGCGCGACCGUGUCUGGUGCCGCAGGGAAGCCGUGAAGCGAGCCACCUGGGAAGUACGGCCGCAAGGCUGAAACUUAAAGGAAUUGGCGGGGGAGCA